rnacentral:rRNA from 1 species
UACGGAAGGCAGCAGUGGGGAAUAUUGCACAAUGGGCGCAAGCCUGAUGCAGCCAUGCCGCGUGUAUGAAGAAGGCCUUCGGGUUGUAAAGUACUUUCAGUCGUGAGGAAGGUGUUAAGGUUAAUAACCUUAGCAAUUGACGUUAGCGACAGAAGAAGCACCGGCUAACUCCGCGCCAGCAGCCGCGGUAAUACGGAGGGUGCGAGCGUUAAUCGGAAUUACUGGGCGUAAAGGGCACGCAGGCGGUUAAUUAAGUUGGAUGUGAAAUCCCCGGGCUUAACCUGGGAAUGGCAUUCAAGACUGGUUAGCUAGAGUCUUGUAGAGGGGGUAGAAUUCCAUGUGUAGCGGUGAAAUGCGUAGAGAUGUGGAGGAAUACCGGGCGGCGAAGGCGGGCCCCUGGGACAAAGACUGACGCUCAUGUGCGAAAGCGUGGGGAGCAAACAGGGAUUAGAUACC